UACGAAGGGGGCUAGCGUUGUUCGGAAUUACUGGGCGUAAAGCGCACGUAGGCGGGUCGUUAAGUCAGGGGUGAAAUCCCGGAGCUCAACUCCGGAACUGCCUUUGAUACUGGCGGCCUCGAGGCCGGAAGAGGUUAGUGGAAUUCCCAGUGUAGAGGUGAAAUUCGUAGAUAUUGGGAAGAACACCAGUGGCGAAGGCGGCUAACUGGUCCGGAUCUGACGCUGAGGUGCGAAAGCCAGGGGAGCAAACGGG
rnacentral:rRNA from 1 species